UAGGGAAUCUUCCGCAAUGGACGCAAGUCUGACGGAGCAACGCCGCGUGAGUGAAGAAGGAUUUCGGUUCGUAAAACUCUGUUGUUAGAGAAGAACAGCGCAUAGAGUAACUGUUAUGCGUGUGACGGUAUCUAACCAGAAAGCCACGGCUAACUACGUGCCAGCAGCCGCGGUAAUACGUAGGUGGCAAGCGUUGUCCGGAUUUAUUGGGCGUAAAGCGAGCGCAGGCGGUCAAUUAAGUCUGAUGUGAAAGGCAGUGGCUCAACCAUUGUAGGCUUUGGAAACUGUUUAACUUGAGUGCAGAAGGGGAGAGUGGAAUUCCAUGUGUAGCGGUGAAAUGCGUAGAUAUAUGGAGGAACACCGGUGGCGAAAGCGGCUCUCUGGUCUGUAACUGACGCUGAGGCUCGAAAGCGUGGGGAGCGAACAGG
rnacentral:rRNA from 1 species